CUACGGGAGGCACCAGUAAAGAAUCUUCCACAAUGGGGGAAACCCUGAUGGAGCAAUCUCGCGUGAAUGAUGAAGGCCGAAAGGUCGUAAAAUUCUUUUCUGAAGGAAUAAUUUUGAAGGUACUUUAGGAAUAAGCACCGGCUAACUCCGUGCCAGCAGCCGCGGUAAUACGGAGGGUGCAAGCGUUAUCCGGAAUCAUUGGGCGUAAAGCGUCCGCAGGCGGUUUAUUAAGUUAGUUAUUAAAUCUGGAAGCCCAACUUUCAGGCUGUAACUAAAACUGGUAAACUAGAGUCUUUCAGAGGUACGCGGAAUUCUGUGUGUAGGGGUAAAAUCCGUAGAUACACAGAAGAACACCAAAAGCGAAGGCAGCGUACUGGGAAAGUACUGACGCUCAUGGACGAAAGCGUGGGGAGCGAACGGGAUUAGAUACCCCAGUAGUC
rnacentral:rRNA from 1 species